rnacentral:rRNA from 1 species
GACAGAGGCCCCAAGCGUUAGGCGGAAUCACUGGGCUUAAAGCGUGUGUAGGCGGAUCGUUAAGUGUCUUGUGAAAUCCCACGGCUCACCCCGUGGAACUGCUGGGCAUACUGGCGAUCUUGGGCCAACUAGGGGCAGCCGGAACAAGCGGUGGAGCGGUGAAAUGCGUAGAUAUCGCUUGGAACGCCAAAGGUGAAAACAGGCUGCUGGGGUUGUGCCGACGCUGAGACACGAAAGCCAGGGGAGCAAACGGG